AUUGAACGCUGGCGGCAUGCUUAAUACAUGCAAGUCGAACGGAGUUGCGAACGGGUGAGUAAUGUAUCGGAACGUGCCCCGUAGCGGGGGAUAACUUAGCGAAAGCGUAGCUAAUAUCACAUACUUUUAGAGCGGCCGAUGUCGGAUUGGCUAGGUGGUGAGGUAAUGGCUUACCAAGGCGACGAUGCGUAGCUGGUUUGAGAGGACGACCAGCCACACUGGGACUGAGACACGGCCCAGACUCCGACGGGAGGCAGCAGUGGGGAAUUUUGGACAAUGGGCGCAAGCCUGAUCCAGCCAUCCCGCGUGUGCGAUGAAGGCCUUCGGAUUGUAAAGCACUUUUGGCAGGAAAGCGGUACCUACAGAAUAAGCACCGGCUAACUACGUGCCAGCAGCCGCGGUAAUAC
rnacentral:rRNA from 1 species